CCACACGUAACUUCGGGAGAAGUGUGGCCUCCUGUGGGAUAAAACUUAAGGGGGGUUGCAGAGAAAUGGCCCAAGCGACUGUUUAUCAAAAACACAGGUCUCUGCUAAAUCGCAAGAUGAUGUAUAGGGACUGACACCUGCCCGGUGCCGGAAGGUUAAGAGGAGGGGUUAGCGCAAGCGAAGCUCCGAAUUGAAGCCCCGGUAAACGGCGGCCGUAACUAUAACGGUCCUAAGGUAGCGAAAUUCCUUGUCGGGUAAGUUCCGACCCGCACGAAUGGUGUAACGACUUGGGCGCUGUCUCAACGCGAGACUCGGUGAAAUUAAACUACCAGUGAAGAUGCUGGUUACCCGUGGUUAGACGGUAAGACCCCGUGAACCUUUACUGUAACUUGGCAUUGGAACUUGGCCCGGCAUGUGUAGGAUAGGUGGGAGACGGUGAAGCGUGGGCGUUAGCCUGCGUGGAGUCGCCGGUGAAAUACCACCCUUGCCUGGUUAGGUUUCUAACGCGGGCCGUGAAACCGGUUCGCGGACAUUGUCAGGCGGGCAGUUUGACUGGGGCGGUCGCCUCCUAAAGAGUAACGGAGGUGCGCGAAGGUUCCCUUGCGCUGGUUGGAAAUCAGCGUGUAUGUGUAAAGGCAAAAGGGAGCUUGACUGCGAGAGCAACAACUCGAGCAGGGACGAAAGUCGGUCUUAGUGAUCUGGCGGUGGCGAGUGGAAGCGCCGUCACUUAACGGAUAAAAGGUACUCCGGGGAUAACAGGCUGAUCUUGCCCAAGAGUUCAUAUCGACGGCAAGGUUUGGCACCUCGAUGUCGGCUCAUCGCAUCCUGAGGCUGGAGCAGGUCCCAAGGGUUUGGCUGUUCGCCAAUUAAAGCGGUACGUGAGCUGGGUUCGAACGUCGCGAGACAGUUCGGUCCCUAUCUGCCACGGGCGUUGGAUGGUUGAGAGGAUCUGCUCUUAGUACGAGAGGACCGGAGUGGACGAACCUCUGGUGUACCGGUUAUCCUGCCAAGGGUAAGCGCCGGGUAGCCAAGUUCGGACGGGAUAACCGCUGAAGGCAUCUAAGUGGGAAGCCCCCCUCGAGAUGAGCCAUCCCCGAAGCGUAAGCUUCCUGAAGGAACGAGCCAGAAUAGCUCGUUGAUAGGCUGGAGGUCUAAGCAUGGUAACAUGUUCAGCCGACCAGUACUAAUCCUCCGUGAGGCUUGACCAU
rnacentral:rRNA from 1 species